rnacentral:rRNA from 1 species
CAGCAGCCGCGGGAAUACGAAGGGGGCUAGCGUUGUUCGGAUUUACUGGGCGUAAAGGGUGCGUAGGCGGAUUGUUAAGUCAGGGGUGAAAUCCCGAGGCUCAACCUCGGAACUGCCUUUGAUACUGGCGAUCUUGAGUCCGGGAGAGGUGAGUGGAACUGCGAGUGUAGAGGUGAAAUUCGUAGAUAUUCGGAAGAACACCAGUGGCGAAGGCGGCCCGCUGGACAAGUAUUGACGCUGAGGUGCGAAAGCGUGGGGAGCAAACAGGAUUAGAUACCCCGGUAGUCCCUGUCUCUUAUAA